UACGUAGGGGGCAAGCGUUAUCCGGAUUUACUGGGCGUAAAGAGCGCGCAGGCGGUCGUUCAAGUCGAGUGUGAAAGCCCCCGGCUCAACUGGGGAGGGUCACUCGAUACUGAUCGACUUGAAGGCAGGAGAGGGAAGCGGAAUUCCCGGUGUAGUGGUGAAAUGCGCAGAUAUCAGGAGGAACACCUGUGGCGAAAGCGGCUCACUGGACCAUAACUGACGCUGAUGCACGAAAGCUAGGGGAGCAAACAGG
rnacentral:rRNA from 1 species